rnacentral:rRNA from 1 species
UACGAAGGGGGCUAGCGUUGCUCGGAAUCACUGGGCGUAAAGGGUGCGUAGGCGGGUAUUUAAGUCAGGGGUGAAAUCCUGGAGCUCAACUCCAGAACUGCCUUUGAUACUGAGUAUCUUGAGUACGGGAGAGGUGAGUGGAACUGCGAGUGUAGAGGUGAAAUUCGUAGAUAUUCGCAAGAACACCAGUGGCGAAGGCGGCUCACUGGCCCGGUACUGACGCUGAGACGCGAAAGCGUGGGGAGCGAACCGG